AAAGUGUUUCCUUGUUAGAAGAUGCAGAUCCAAAGACUUAUAUGGACUUUGGCUACACCAUUAAAU
rnacentral:sRNA from 1 species